rnacentral:rRNA from 1 species
CGAACGCUGGCGGCGUGCUUAACACAUGCAAGUCGAACGCGAAAGGGACUUCGGUCCUGAGUAAAGUGGCGCACGGGUGAGUAACGCGUAGAUAACCUGUCUUCAUGUCUGGAAUAAUACGCCGAAAGGGGUACUAAUACCGGAUAUUCUUGCUUUUCAUAAGUUAUGCAAGCAAAGGUGGCCUCUGCAUAUGCUACUGCAUGAAGAGGGGUCUGCGUACCAUUAGCUAGUAGGUGGGGUAAUGGCCUACCUAGGCGACGAUGGUUAGCGGGUCUGAGAGGAUGAUCGCCACACUGGCACUGGAACACGGGCCAGACUCCUACGGAGGCAGCAGUGAGGAAUAUUGCGCAAUGGGGGAAACCCUGACGCAGCGACGCCGCGUGAGUGAGGAAGGCCUUCGGGUCGUAAAGCUCUGUCAAGAGGAAAGAAGUGUACAAUGGCUAAUACCUGUUGUAUUUGACGGUACCUCUAAAGGAAGCACCGGCUAACUCCGUGCCAGCCGCCGC